rnacentral:lncRNA from 1 species
AUAAGUUUUGGCUCUAUAUUUGGUUUUAGGACCACUGCUUGUCCUUUUAAUGUUCUCUUCUCACCUUCGACAUCCCAGAAACUUUAGCCAGCUCAAGAUUGCAAAAGCCAAAUUUCAGUACCCUACAUGUUACAUGUUUCGUUGAUGAUAUAAACUCGAUCUCGAUCUUUCCUUUUCUCUCUUCCACGUCCUAGUCCAUGUAUAAGUAGAAACUUUCACUUGCAGUUAAAAGCAUCAUGUCAAGAAAUUAAAACUUCC